ensembl:lncRNA novel transcript, antisense to ARHGAP44
UGUGGCCAUUAAACUGAUCCUGCAAGACCUGACAUGAGCCGUCCAAGGAAAAGGUAGCAGCCCUUGGGUCUAACCAGGCAAAGGUCAAACAAAAGGCCGAAGUCACCACCCGAAAGGAACAAACAAAACCUGCACCACCAGCAUCACCACACGGACUGGAGAUCACAAUUUUCUGCCAAAUUCCAACCUCGUGUUGGCAGUGGCAGGAAAGAGCCAGCAGAGAACACUUGGCAAGCUCAUGGACGCUGCUCCUGGCGGCGUUCCUAGGGCCCGUGAUGUAUGUACACGCGAGGCAGGAUGGGCGGUGUCAUGUCAGAGGGCGGUGCUCUCAGACU